ACGUUCAGCUGCCUACUGGUAACCUUAAGGAAAGCAUUCCAUGCAUGUUCAUGUCGCAGAUCCACCCCCGACCUUGAGCAGGGGUUUGCAUCUUAGGCAUGUACCGUGCAACAGCACUGCACACUGUUAAUAUGCAAACUAUCCAGUGACUUGUCAUUGGAUGUCUCCAGGAGAUCAGCCCAGCGACAUGCUAAUAGUGGACAAGUGCAUCAUCAAGGGCUGCCUGUUAUUCACCCCUGUUGAUAUGACUGUGUAACGUUAGCGAAGGGCACAGAUGUGAUUCACUGAGCCCAUCUGGUGUGAAACGACCCAUUGCUAUUGUGAUGGGAUGAAAUAAUUUCCUCAAAACAUAAAUACAUUUUCUUCACGGAUGCUUUAAUACAAGUAUAGAUGUCCUCAGGUUUUGACUGUGAGUUUCUCCCACUCUCUCAGUUUGCAGUGUUGUCCAGAGCUGGAUAGCCAACAAAUGAGACGGCGCAUUAUCCUCUCACUAAAGCAUGUUUGGAACAUGCCUGUUUGAUUUUCAACCUUUUAUGGUUGCUCCAACAACUUCUGAUUUAUUACACGUUCUAAAAGGGAAACAUCUGCCCUCGAAAAACAGGUGAGGGAACAAACAGAGCGCUAUGUUCUGCAGUGAAGGUAUUUAAAAACCGGGUUAAUGUAUAACCUGCGUUAACAUCAGACAGAUGGGUUUUUUAAACUUUUUAACGGCAGUUCUGAAAACAUAUGAAAUCCCCCCGCAGUGGAUGUCUGCCGCUCUCCGCAGCGUUGUGUGGGAGAUACACGUGGCUUGUUUUUUUGUCUGACAGUUAAAAUAUAUGUGCUGUUAGUUUCAGGAAUGCUGGUGGAACAUGGAGAAAAAAAAGGGAGUGUCAUUCACAGAGCAGAUGGUAUGCUUUUAAUCAUCCAUAUUGCUCCGAAGCUUUUGAUGUUUUAGUACUUGGGUUCCGUCUCACACACCAAACGCCAUUGUGUUUUCAACGUCCAACUUGUUUUGAAGGAAUGGACUGCUGAGGAAACUGAGUGCAGUUUACAAUAUAUACUCAAUUUAUCAAUGAAAUAUGAGUUUUCUCUGAACAUGGAGGAAUAUUUUGGCAUUUUGCUGCUUGCAGCUUUCUCAAGAACCGCUCACCAAAACAACUUCACUUGCCACUGCGCUUCCCUGGAAGUAUAUGUGAUAUUUGCCAACAAAUACAAAUGGUAAUUAUUUCCAGGAACAAAAACGUUCAUAGAUCGCUCCAGGGAUGACGUUUUUCUGUAGAGUGAUGUGAAAAUUAGCAUGGCCAUGGUUCUCUUGUCAAUAAGCCAAAGGGAUUUUUCUAUUGGAUUUUGGAUUAUUGAAGAAUUAUUUGCUCUGUGGCAAACAAACGUUUAUGAUACUUACAUGUUUUGUUCAGAAAGAUAAUCUUCAUUCGCAUGACUUCAUGUAGUGUUUGGCCACUUGAAAACAUGAAAGUCUCUAAAGCCUGUGUUAACCACAGACCUUAUUUCAGGCAUCUAACCAAAAACCCAUGGACUUUGAGACGAGGGAACCAGGAAUGUUAAAAUGCUAACUAAUUUGCAUGUUUUAAGACACAUUCCUGGAGCGCUCUAGUGCGAGAGUUUCAUCGCUGGUGCUUAAAAUGUUUGUGUUUGCUACAAUGUCACAUUUCCGGUCUCAGGCCCCUCUUUCUUCAUUGGUUGUUUCACGAACUGUAGUGAGCUGCACUCAGCAUGCCGUACAGCAGUGUAACAGUUAAUAAGGGACCCCUCUCAAAACACUACACAGCGUGUACAUAAUGCACUACUCAUAAAUAUGUCUCGUAGAUCUCAAGAGCUCACACCUGACUGCACUCCCUCAGGUCCUCAGCAGCACACCAGUCAAUUGGCUGUCAAGUAAAUCGAAGGGCAGACAGAAACGUCUUCCUUAGCAUAUCUGUCUCAUGUCUGUACAGAGUUCCAGGCUGGAGGCUGUUUUGCAGUGAUGUCGAUGUGAUGACUCCGCCGUUUCUGAAAGCCAAAAUAACAACUAUGUCAGCAUGAAGUGAGGUCCAUAAGAUUCAUGGAAAUCUGAAAAGAAUGAAGCCAUGGAUAACAACGUAGCACUUUGAGGAACUGGAUCCCAGCAACCAAAAACCUCAACGAAGCGAAACUUGACCAAAAAAAUUCAACUUGUGCAGCAUGCAGGCUGCGGUCCAAUAUUGUGGGUUAGGAGGCACGGCCCAUUAAGUUAUUGUUUAGUCUGACAUGUAAUUCAUUUGCAGCUGAAGCCAAAUCUUUAACAGAUUGUGUUCAGAAUCAAUGAUACACAAAUAUUUAUUAUUACAUCAAUACUGGCUGGCAGCGAGGCAGAUUGACCUUGUGUCCUCUUAACUUGUUGUUCAGUUCAUUCUGUCCUGAGUGGCUCCUGCACACUCUCAUAACAAUGAGUCAGUGACUGGAAGGUGCUAUAAUUUUCACUUUUCCUUUUCCUGGUGGUAAGAAUUUAAAAAAUGUUUAAUCUAUUCUCCCAUCUGCAGCUGCUGUACUCUAUCACAAUGCGGCAGAUGUUUAUGGUGCUGUAAAUAAGCUUUUUAUGUAAGUGAAAUAACCCUUUGCUCAGAGGCCACCAUGUUUUCAAAUGAUAUGCUCUCUGUUUGCCUUGUGUGAACUAUGGCUCACAUUCCUACCAUUCAAGGUCGGACUAUACGCUGAGAUGGUAAAUCCAGUUUGAAGAGUAUGACCUGAAAUAUGAUAUAGCAGUGUUUUGCCCUGAUGUGUGAAAUGGAAGAUUUCUCUUGUAAUUACAGAGAUG